rnacentral:rRNA from 1 species
UACGGGGGGGGCAAGCGUUGUUCGGAAUUACUGGGCGUAAAGGGCGCGUAGGCGGCCAUCUAAGUCAGACGUGAAAUCCCUCGGCUCAACCGAGGAACUGCGUCUGAUACUGGAAGGCUUGAAUCCGGGAGAGGGAUGUGGAAUUCCAGGUGUAGCGGUGAAAUGCGUAGAUAUCUGGAGGAACACCGGUGGCGAAGGCGGCAUCCUGGACCGGUACUGACGCUGAGGUGCGAAAGCGUGGGGAGCAAACAGG